rnacentral:rRNA from 1 species
CAGUCGCCACGGUAAUACGAAGGGGGCUAGCGUUGUUCGGAAUUACUGGGCGUAAAGCGCACGUAGGCGGAUAUUUAAGUCAGGGGUGAAAUCCCGCAGCUCAACUGCGGAACUGCCUUUGAUACUGGGUAUCUUGAGUAUGGAAGAGGUUAGUGGAAUUGCGAGUGUAGAGGUGAAAUUCGUAGAUAUUCGCAGGAACACCAGUGGCGAAGGCGGCUAACUGGUCCAUAACUGACGCUGAGGUGCGAAAGCGUGGGGAGCAAACAGGAUUAGAUACCCGAGUAGUCCCUGUCUCUUAUAC